AUGAGCGUGCUGGUGCUGGACGCCCUGUGGCUGCUGCUCUGG
rnacentral:SRP_RNA from 1 species